AUUGAACGCUGGCGGCAGGCCUAACACAUGCAAGUCGAACGGUAACAGGAAGCAGCUUGCUGCUUUGCUGACGAGUGGCGGACGGGUGAGUAAUGUCUGGGAAACUGCCCGAUGGAGGGGGAUAACUACUGGAAACGGUAGCUAAUACCGCAUAACGUCGCAAGACCAAAGAGGGGGACCUUAGGGCCUCUUGCCAUCGGAUGUGCCCAGAUGGGAUUAGCUAGUAGGUGGGGUAACGGCUCACCUAGGCGACGAUCCCUAGCUGGUCUGAGAGGAUGACCAGCCACACUGGAACUGAGACACGGUCCAGACUCCUACGGGAGACAGCAGUGGGGAAUAUUGCACAAUGGGCGCAAGCCUGAUGCAGCCAUGCCGCGUGUAUGAAGAAGGCCUUCGGGUUGUAAAGUACUUUCAGCGGGGAGGAAGGGAGUAAAGUUAAUACCUUUGCUCAUUGACGUUACCCGCAGAAGAAGCACCGGCUAACUCCGUG
rnacentral:rRNA from 1 species